ACUCUGCCAGUAGUGGAGACCACUUGGGGAACGUGUGCACGUGGGCUUUCUCUUCUGUUUGCAGCAGUGAGGAUGCCCUUCCCUUUUUGCUGGGCUGGUGCUGGAGAGGUUGCAGAAAGGAAGGACUCCCCAGCGGCAUACCCAUUGGCAAGAAGAUGAAGAAAGAAACUCUUCUCUGGGAGGAGAGGGACUGCAACUGCACAUCCAAGGGGGUCAGAACCGAGAGCCCACCACACGAAGAAGCCCGGACACGCAACAAUUAGAAAACAUUUGAAGGGAAUGAACAGGCAUUUCAGUGAAGAGGACCCAUGGGUGGAUCACAGGGCUUCACAUGCGUGAGUCACGUCACCCUACUUACUGUGUGCUUCCGAGGAUCCCACGAAGCCUGGCUUGACAGUGCUUUCUGUGACAGCGAUUUUACAUCGAUCAAUCUGGGGACCCAGUGGGAAUCAGUGGCAGAAUUACCAGCGCAAGGCAAUUCCCAAUCUCCUUGGCCUGAAGCUGUUGCUCCGUAGAGGAACCAUCGCCCGACAUCCGAGAGACCAUGGACUCCACUCUCAGUACCGAGGAAACAAACAACCCGAGCAGGCCAGCAAGCCAAUAACUAAAAGCAUGGCUUCCUUUCUUUCCCAAGGAAGGCUGUAGAGACCAGCAGUCCUAGUCCCCAAGGUGGCAACUUUCUUCUGGCAACAUAUCUGAAGGCUAAGAGAAUGAGGAGGAGGGGCUUUGCCUGGUGCUACGGACUGUGGUAUGGUGAAGAGAAGAACCAACGCCCCUCCCUCUGCUCACUGGAUUGCCAGUGGGACUGCCAUGUUUUAGCCUCCCAGGGUGCAAAAUCACUAAUCUCCGUGUACACUGAGGAGGCUUAAUUCAGGAUCUAGAACCACACUGAAGAUAAGCUCUGGGGCAUGUCUGUGAGGAGGCCUCUAGAGUGGUUAACAAAAAUUGGAAGCCUCACCCUGACCGUGGGUGGCACCGUUCCAUUGGGAUGAAAUUCAGAACUAAACAGAACGUGAGCAACAAGAAAAGAAACUAAUACAUAUUUUGCUAAGUUGCCCAGGUUGGCCCUUCCUUAACUUGUAAUUUGGCAAAGAUUGCACAAAGAAAUGGGAUUUGUAGAAGACUUGAAUAAUGGGGAGAGUGCAUAGGAAGAAGGAGAUCAUUCUAGAAUACUCACACACAUCUAACAGUUCAAAAUAAGCAUGAUAUGAACUAUUAAUGCAGCAUUUAAAGGUGAGCUUUUGUCUCCUGAGUGCUGGGAUCACAAACACCAUGCUCUGCUUGUCUGGCAGUGGAUUGUAAACUGGGCUGACAUUGGUGAGAAGGGGAACACGAGGCUAUUGUC
rnacentral:lncRNA from 1 species